rnacentral:rRNA from 1 species
AGAGUUUGAUCCUGGCUCAGAACGAACGCUGGCGGCAGGCCUAACACAUGCAAGUCGAGCGCGCCUUUCGGGUGAGCGGCGGACGGGUUAGUAACGCGUGGGAACGUGCCCUUCUCUACGGAAUAGCCUCUGGAAACGGAGAGUAAUACCGUAUACGCCCUUUGGGGGAAAGAUUUAUCGGAGAAGGAUCGGCCCGCGUUAGAUUAGGUAGUUGGUGGGGUAAUGGCCUACCAAGCCUACGAUCUAUAGCUGGUUUUAGAGGAUGAUCAGCAACACUGGGACUGAGACACGGCCCAGACUCCUACGGGAGGCAGCAGUGGGGAAUCUUAGACAAUGGGGGCAACCCUGAUCUAGCCAUGCCGCGUGAGUGAUGAAGGCCUUAGGGUCGUAAAGCUCUUUCGCCUGUGAUGAUAAUGACAGUAGCAGGUAAAGAAACCCCGGCUAACUCCGUGCCAGCAGCCGCGGUAAUACGGAGGGGGUUAGCGUUGUUCGGAAUUACUGGGCGUAAAGCGCGCGUAGGCGGAUUAGAAAGUUGGGGGUGAAAUCCCGGGGCUCAACCUCGGAACUGCCUCCAAAACUGCUAGUCUAGAGUUCGAGAGAGGUGAGUGGAAUUCCGAGUGUAGAGGUGAAAUUCGUAGAUAUUCGGAGGAACACCAGUGGCGAAGGCGGCUCACUGGCUCGAUACUGACGCUGAGGUGCGAAAGUGUGGGGAGCAAACAGGAUUAGAUACCCUGGUAGUCCACACCGUAAACGAUGAAUGCCAGUCGUCGGGUAGUAUACUAUUCGGUGACACACCUAACGGAUUAAGCAUUCCGCCUGGGGAGUACGGUCGCAAGAUUAAAACUCAAAGGAAUUGACGG